AGUGGCGGACGGGUGAGUAACGCGUGGGUAACCUGCCUCAUACAGGGGGAUAACAGUUAGAAAUGACUGCUAAUACCGCAUAAGACCACAGCACCGCAUGGUGCAGGGGUAAAAACUCCGGUGGUAUGAGAUGGACCCGCGUCUGAUUAGGUAGUUGGUGGGGUAACGGCCUACCAAGCCGACGAUCAGUAGCCGACCUGAGAGGGUGACCGGCCACAUUGGGACUGAGACGCGGCCCAA
rnacentral:rRNA from 1 species